UACGGGGGGGAGCAAGCGUUGUUCGGAUUUACUGGGCGUAAAGGGCGCGUAGGCGGCCUCUGCAAGUCGACUGUGAAAUCUCCGGGCUUAACCCGGAAAGGUCAGCCGAUACUGCGGGGGCUAGAGUGCAGAAGGGGGCAACUGGAAUUCUCGGUGUAGCGGUGAAAUGCGUAGAUAUCGAGAGGAACACCUGCGGCGAAGGCGGGUUGCUGGGCUGACACUGACGCUGAGGCGCGAAAGCUAGGGGAGCGAACAGG
rnacentral:rRNA from 1 species